UUAAAUGGAUUUGUGGAAUGGGUUGCUGUUGCAUGCCAUAUGGAUUGACACGACUCUCGGCAAUGGAUAUCUCGGCUCUCGCAUCGAUGAAGAGCGCAGCGAAAUGCGAUAUAUGGUGCGAAUUGCAAAAUCCCGCGAACCAUCGAGUCUUUGAACGCAAGUU
rnacentral:rRNA from 1 species